AUACCCUAGCCGACUACAACAUCGUCGGACCAUAGAAUAGAGAUCACACUAUUCGGAGUGGCUGACAAAGAAAAAAACAUGGAGACUGUAUUGAAACUGACCCAACGGACGUUUUUUAAAGAUCGUCGGGUCAUAGAACGAAUAAAUAAAUAAUAGGGCCCAAUUUUAAAAUAAUAUAGAUAACGUAAAAAAAAAACCAAAGGCACUAUUAGCUGGCUAUUACAUAACGGAUGAUAAAAGGGAAACAUUUGUAUGACAUGUGUGCUUUCACUACAAUGUCAAAGCCGGAUGAGUAUUGGGUCUUCCAUACUGUAACCAGGUCAUACACAACAGUCCCAUCCACGAAGAAAGACUAAUGUACAGAGCGGGGGAAUAAAAAUUUGAUGAGAAGUUUUAGAAUCGUGACUUGUUAUUUUUCCAGUUUAUGAGGUUAUAGUCAGGGUAUUUCUUACGUGAUUAUAACCACUUGCUUUGGAGACGGAAGAACUCAUGGGGUGCCUUUCAGUUCUAUGCUUAUGAGUUAUGAGAUUAACAAGGUUACGCAUUUUUAGAGUGGUAUUUGGAGUAUGAAGAAGCAGUUGCAAACUUGCAAAUAGAGGAGCUAUUCUCAUUGCCCAAAUUGUGACUUUGGAAAAUCAUUAAAUAUCAGUCAUAUGUCAUGGUAAGUCACCCUGUCAUGGCUUCAAAACAGUUCCGGAAAUGAGAGAGUUUGGCAUCUAUGUAAUGCACUAUUUAGAGAGGCAAUGGUUUCUGCUCUUGAGGUAGUGAUGACAAGUUGUUUAGUCUUUCUACUAUGCUCUAAUGGGUUUCUUACCCAGUCUAAGCUAGUUUUUUCGGUUAGUAAAGUAGUGGGUGUGUCAUGUGUGACCCUGUUGUGACCAUGUGAUGACAAAAAAAAAGAACAACAGUUUGAAUUUAGGUACUUCAAUACUACAACCACCUUGAUCUUCUUCAUCCAGCCCACAAAAAAAUAUCAAAACCAUGUAAAAUUUAGAGAAAUGUGUAGAGUUAAAAGUCAAUUUAGUAUUUUCUAUCAGAUGCGAGAAUACAAAGCUUUUGGUAGUCUAAGAAAGCCUCUCCAAAAAUUGUAGAAGAAGAACUGAAUCUUUCAUUAUUGAUGUUGUGAUAAUAUCACCAGUUAAUUUAGCAUAUUUUUACUAUAAUGCAUAAUAAGUUUAGAUAAAUAUUUUAGCUAUUUACUUAAUAGAUUUUAUUGGUAGACACUAGAGAUACUUGAGCAUGUAUCACAAUAGAUCAGAUAAUUUGAUAAACAACAGACUAUCUAACUCUAAGAUUCAAGGUACUGUGUUGCUCAAAAAAAAAAAAAUCAAGGUACUACAAGAAUUACAUAUUGGAUGGAGCAAACGUACCCAUAACAGCCUUGGCAUUUAAUCUUGAAUUAUGGCUGGAUUCUCAAAGACUCGCCGGAGAACCAAAUAAUAAUACCUAACACGGAAACACAGAUAUUUAAUCUUGUUUUAUAUAUGGCUGGAUUCUCAAAGACGGCCGUACCCUAGCCGACUACAAGUCUACAACAUCAAGAAGGAUUCGACCCUUCACUUGUUUAUGAGUCUGAGGUAGUGUCCCAAAACGGCUUAUUCAUGCCCACACUACGAAGGCGGAAAAAAUAAUUACCCUAACUAUAUUAACAUGCCAAAUUAUUCUUAAACUAAAAAAAAAAUAUGAAUUAGAUACCUAAACUCAAAGUACAUAGCUAAAACAUACCUAUAGGCGGUUAUAUGAUGACUUGGACUACUUUUUUAUUUUUUCUUUUUGUAGUUUAGUCCUUAUAAUUCUAUUUUCUUAAUAUGCCUUAAAUAACUAAAAUAAUAAAAUUUAUCGUAUUUAUAUUUUUAACUAGGGUCGGCCGGCCCUACAGGCGGGAAGUUAUAAUAAAAACUAUUUUAUUAUGUUGAAUAGUGUUUAUCUUUUUGUUUAAAACUAAUUUUACGUUAACACUUAGUGUUUUGACCCAAAAAUAGUAAUUAGAAUUAUGAUAUAAGAUAAUUUUAUUCGUAGUAGUUUUCCAAUGGUGUGGUGAUUUUGUAUUUAGUCGUUUGAUGAUGUUGCGAUUUGUUUAAAAUGAGGAAGUUAUUAUUAGAACAGCCGCAACACUUUUGAAAGUCACAUAUUUAGUUACCAUUAAGAAUUCUAUAAUGUAUGUGAGAAAAUAUUGUUUAUUGAGAAAUGCAAUGUGUGUAUAUUUUUGUGUAGACGAAUAAUUUAAGUACUAUUUGAAAACGUAAACGGACUGGCUAAUAAAGAGACGAUUAAAUAUAAGAACUUGUUGAGUGGGGUUCAUAUGAAUUUUUUUAGCAUAUCUUUUAAAAUUAAAAUUGUAGAAAGUGUGUAUAUUCACCGGUUCUUUUUGCUUACAACUUUAUGCCUUGAACAUUUGCACCAUUUUAAGUGAUUUUGAUGGGACAUCUCGAAAGUUAUAGAGGAAAAAAUUGGGUGUUAAGAGUUUUGCUUACCGAUGUGGCAUAUUUGACCAAUUAGAUUUAGUUACUGAUCCCAAAGCUUUUAUAUGAGAAGAUUGGUUAUGUUCUCUAUGUUUAAUUUUUUUAAAAUAUUCAAGAAUAGAAGAUUCAAAAUUUUGCUAUGCUCUUUAUGUCUGGCAAUUAGAUUAUAUAUCUUAAGUAAAAGCAUUAAGAACACUAUAUGAACUAUAUAAACAAAAAAAAAGAGUUCAAAACAAAUCAAAACAGCAUCUAAGCAAAGGUGAGUUGACUAUACAAAUUGGAACAUUGGAAAAAAUACUAAAAAAAAAUUUUCGCUUGUAAUAAUUGAAAUCUCAAAAUAUAUAGUACUCUCAAGAAUCUGAAAAUAACAUUGGAAAAUUAGAAUCUUCACAUAAAUAUUAAUGCAUGUAUUACAUUUGCAUAAUAAAAAUACAAAUCUCUGAACCUUUCUAUUAAGUAUCCUAAGUUAUAUCUAUUAUACACACAAUUAUUAACGCAACUUUAUAUCCUUAGUUUUAAACAAACUCUUAAUCUUUAAACUAUAAACUUAACCAUAAACUUUAUUCUCCAUGAAAAUAAUUUUAUAAUUUAAAUGUAUAAAUUAUAAAAUUUUAACCUUAGACUUUAUAUUCAAAUGAUUGAUAACAAAUGGCAAGGAUUGUGUCAGAUUUAAUAAUAGUCAUUGAUUAAAUUUCAAUCUAACGGUGGAGAAUCAAUCUCAACCUCUCUCUUUUGUCCUUUUCUGUGCAAUGAGAAACGAUCUAGAAACUUGUUUUCUUCAUAUUUUUUUCAGAUUCAGAUCUCUAUUUUCUCAUAUCACGUUUCUCUUUUCGUCUUUCUCUUCUCUACAUUUCUUCUCUGUCUGCUGAUUUGUUUAUUUUUUCUCUGUUUUAUUUAAUGAAUCUCGUCUUCUUUCUAUCUCAUCUUCUUCUUUGUCACUGUUGAAGCUUGUGCCGUACUCGUUGUCACCACUCUAGUUUAUCACCUCUCUUUUCAGAAUUCAAGAUUAUAAGGUGUAGAGGAAGAAGACAAGCUCAAUGGUGGUGGGAUUUGAGAAAAGCGGAGCCGGAUGGUGGGUGCGACGAUGGCCACAUGGGAAGAGCCCUAAAAAUGGAUCGAAGCGCGUUAGAGAUGCUGGAGACUGGGCCGUUCAAGAACAAAGCCCACAUAAACCAAAGCUCACCUAGACUUAAAGAAACAUGGCGUUUUAAAAUGAUGGGACACGUGUCAGCUUUUUAAGACUCGAACUAGUGACGUGACCGCCUAUGUGGACAGCCAAGGAGGAAAGCAAACCCAACUUUAUAUAUAAAGAUUUGAAAAGUACAAUUAUAUAUUUUGACCAGAUUUUAAUUAAAUUUAAAUCCUAAA